rnacentral:rRNA from 1 species
UCAUCCCGACUUACCAACCCCAUGCAAACUCCGAAUACCAAUGAGUGCAAUUACGGGAGACACACGGCGGGUGCUAACGUCCGUCGUGGAAAGGGAAACAACCCAGACCGUCAGCUAAGGUCCCAAAGUUACAGUUAAGUGGGAAACGAUGUGGGAAGGCUUAGACAGCUAGGAGGUUGGCUUAGAAGCAGCCAUCCUUUAAAGAAAGCGUAAUAGCUCACUAGUCGAGUCGGCCUGCGCGGAAGAUAUAACGGGGCUAAAACUGUACACCGAAGCUACGGAUGCAAGAUUUAUCUUGCAUGGUAGAGGAGCGUUCUGUAAGCCGUUGAAGGUCAAGCUGUAAGGCAGGCUGGAGGUAUCAGAAGUGCGAAUGUUGACAUGAGUAACGAUAAGGGGAGUGAAAAACUUCCCCGCCGGAAGACCAAGGUUUCCUGUCCCAUGCUAAUCAGGGCAGGGUGAGUCGGCCCCUAAGGCGAGGCAGAAAUGCGUAGUCGAUGGGAAACAGGUUAAUAUUCCUGUACUUAUGUAUAUUGCGAUGGAGAGACGGAGAAGGCUAGGCUAGCACGGCGAUGGUUGUCCGUGUUUAAGGUGGUAGGUUGAGAGCUUAGGUAAAUCCGGGCCCUCUUAAGACCGAGAACUGAUGACGAGUCCUCUUUUGGACGAAGUAGUUGAUGCCAUGCUUCCAGGAAAAACUUCUAAGCUUCAGAUAUACAUGAACCGUACCCCAAACCGACACAGGUGGUCAGGUAGAGAAUACCAAGGCGCUUGAGAGAACUCGGGUGAAGGAACUAGGCAAAAUGGCACCGUAACUUCGGGAGAAGGUGCGCCGGUUAGUGUGAAGGAUUUACUCCGUAAGCAUUGAUCGGUCGAAGAUACCAGGUGGCUGCGACUGUUUAUUAAAAACACAGCACUCUGCAAACACGAAAGUGGACGUAUAGGGUGUGACGCCUGCCCGGUGCUGGAAGGUUAAUUGAUGGGGUUAGCGUAAGCGAAGCUCUUGAUCGAAGCCCCAGUAAACGGCGGCCGUAACUAUAACGGUCCUAAGGUAGCGAAAUUCCUUGUCGGGUAAGUUCCGACCUGCACGAAUGGCGUAACGAUGGCCACACUGUCUCCACCCGAGACUCAGUGAAAUUGAAAUCGCAGUGAAGAUGCUGUGUAUCCGCGGCUAGACGGAAAGACCCCGUGAACCUUUACUAUAGCUUCACAGUGAACUUUGAACCUACUUGUGUAGGAUAGGUGGGAGGCUUUGAAACUAGGACGCCAGUUCUAGUGGAGCCAAACUUGAAAUACCACCCUGGUAUGUUUGAGGUUCUAACUCAGGUCCCUUAUCGGGAUCGAGGACACUGUGUGGUGGGUAGUUUGACUGGGGCGGUCUCCUCCCAAAGAGUAACGGAGGAGCACGAAGGUGUGCUCAGCAUGGUCGGAAAUCAUGCGUAGAGUGUAAAGGCAAAAGCGCGCUUAACUGCGAGACAGACACGUCGAGCAGGUACGAAAGUAGGUCUUAGUGAUCCGGUGGUUCUGUAUGGAAGGGCCAUCGCUCAACGGAUAAAAGGUACUCCGGGGAUAACAGGCUGAUACCGCCCAAGAGUUCACAUCGACGGCGGUGUUUGGCACCUCGAUGUCGGCUCAUCACAUCCUGGGGCUGAAGCCGGUCCCAAGGGUAUGGCUGUUCGCCAUUUAAAGUGGUACGCGAGCUGGGUUUAGAACGUCGUGAGACAGUUCGGUCCCUAUCUGCCGUGGACGUUUGAGAUUUGAGAGGAGCUGCUCCUAGUACGAGAGGACCGGAGUGGACGAACCUCUGGUGUUCCGGUUGUCACGCCAGUGGCAUUGCCGGGUAGCUAUGUUCGGACGGGAUAACCGCUGAAAGCAUCUAAGCGGGAAGCCUCCCUCAAGAUGAGAUCUCACUGGGACAUAAGUCCCCUAAAGAGCCGUUGAAGACUACGACGUUGAUAGGUUGGGUGUGUAAGUGCUGUGAGGCAUUGAGCUAACCAAUACUAAUUGCUCGUGAGGCUUGACCAU